AUGAGGGUGCAGCGGCCGGUGCAGCAUCCCAUGGUCCCCGAGCAGCGGGGGCAGGGCAGGGCAGUGGCCGCGGCCCCGCCGCCGCCCUGGGCUCGGCUCUGCCCGCUCCGCAGCGGAGGUCGCUCGGUGUCGCUCGCUCGGUGUCGGUCGGCGGCGAGGCAGGAUGACGGCGAACGGGACGGCGGAGCCGGUGCAGAUCCAGUUCGGGCUGAUCAAUUGCAGCAACCGGUACCUGACGGCGGAGGCGUUCGGUUUCAAGGUGAACGCCUCGGCCGCCAGCAUGAAGAAGAAGCAGAUCUGGACGCUGGAGCAGGACGGGGAGGACUCCAGCGCCGUCCUGCUCAAGAGCCACCUGGGCCGGUACCUGGCGGCCGACAAGGACGGGCGGGUGAGCUGCGACAGCGAGGAGCCGGGCCCCGACUGCCGGUUCCUGGUGCUGGCCCACGGCGACGGGCGGUGGUCGCUGCAGUCCGAGCCCCACCGCCGCUUCUUCGGCGGCACCGAGGACCGCCUCUCCUGCUUCGCCCCCGCCGUCUCUGCCGCCGAGAAGUGGAGCGUCCACCUGGCCAUGCACCCCCAGGCCAACCUGUACAGCCUGGCCCGCAAGCGCUACGCGCACCUGGGGCCCCGCCGCGACGAGCUGGCCGUGGACCGCGACGUGCCCUGGGGCGUGGAUGCGCUCAUCACCCUCCUGUUCGUGGAGNACGCCGGGAUGCGCCCCCCGGGCCCCCGCAGGCGCGCUGGGAUGCUCCGGGCCCGGCCGGCCCUCCCCCGGGAGGCGGGGGCAGCUCGGAUUCCCCGGACGGGGCAGCCUCUCCUUUCUCUCUCGGCCGGACGCGGGUGAGCGGGCCGUGCUGGGACACAGGGCUGUGCUGGCCAGGUGUGUGUGCGGGACACACGGGCUGUGCAGCUCCUCUUUCACAAAUGCUCCCCCGUGCAGGUGCUGCUGCGUUCACCCUGGACGUUACCAAGCCCCAAACUAACCUAAAAUACAGUGGUUUUUCCCCAAAAAUUUGCCAGAGAAGGUGCACAUAG
rnacentral:lncRNA from 1 species